rnacentral:rRNA from 1 species
UAAGACUGGAUAGGAAAUAAAAAGGCAUCUUUUUAUUUUUAAAAGACCUUUUUCGGAAGGUAUGCUUAAAGAGGGGCUUGCGUCACAUUAGUUAGUUGGCAGGGUAAAGGCCUACCAAGACUAUGAUGUGUAGCUGGACUGAGAGGUUGAACAGCCACAUUGGGACUGAGACACGGCCCAAACUCCUACGGGAGGCAGCAGUAGGGAAUUUUCGGCAAUGGAGGAAACUCUGACCGAGCAACGCCGCGUGAACGAUGAAGUAUUUCGGUAUGUAAAGUUCUUUUAUUGAAGAAGAAAAAAUAGUGGAAAAACUAUCUUGACGAUAUUCAAUGAAUAAGCCCCGGCAAACUAUGUGCCAGCAGCCGCGGUAAUACAUAGGGGGCGAGCGUUAUCCGGAAUUAUUGGGCGUAAAGGGUGCGUAGGCGGUUUAAUAAGUCUAUAGUUUAAUUUCAGUGCUUAACACUGUCCUGCUAUAGAAACUAUUAGACUAGAGUGAGAUAGAGGCAAGUGGAAUUCCAUGUGUAGCGGUAAAAUGCGUAAAUAUAUGGAGGAACACCAGAGGCGUAGGCGGCUUGCUGGGUCUUUACUGACGCUGAGGCACGAAAGCGUGGGGAGCAAACAGGAUUAGAUACCCUGGUAGUCCACGCCGUAAACGAUGAGUACUAAGUGUCGGGAUUACUCGGUACUGAAGUUAACACAUUAAGUACUCCGCCUGAGUAGUACGUACGCAAGUAUGAAACUUAAAGGAAUUGACGGGACUCCGCACAAGCGGUGGAUCAUGUUGUUUAAUUCGAAGAUACACGAAAAACCUUACCAGGUCUUGACAUACUCUGCAAAGCUAUAGCAAUAUAGUGGAGGUUAUCAGGGAUACAGGUGGUGCAUGGGUUGUCGUCAGCUCGUGUCGUGAGAUGUUAGGUUAAGUCCUAAAACGAGCGCAACCCUUGUCAUUAGUUGCCAGCAUGUCACGAUGGGCACUUUAAUGAGACUGCCAAUGAAAAAUUGGAGGAAGGUGAGGAUCACGUCAAAUCAUCAUGCCCCUUAUGAUCUGGGCUACAAACGUGAUACAAUGGCUGUUACAAAGAGUAGCUGAAACGCAAGUUUAUAGCCAAUCUCAUAAAAGCAGUCUCAGUUCGGAUUGAAGUCUGCAACUCGACUUCAUGAAGUUGGAAUCGCUAGUAAUCGCGAAUCACCAUGUCACGGUGAAUACGUUCACGGGGUUUGUAC